rnacentral:rRNA from 1 species
UGGGGAAUUUUGCACAAUGGGGGAAAACCUGAUGCAGCGACGGCGCGUGAUUUAGAAGGCCGUCGGGUUGUAAAAAUCUUUGCUAUGGGAAGAAAAUGACAGUACCAUAGGAAUAAGGACCGGCUAAUUACGUGCCAGCAGCCGCGGUAAUAGGUAAGGUCAGAGCGGUGUCCGGAAGCAUUGGGCGUAAAGGGUACGUAGGCGGGUAAGCAAGUUAGAAGUGAAAUCCUAUAGCUCAACUAUAGUAAGCUUUUACAACUGCUCAUCUUGAGGUAUGGAAGGGAAAGUUUAAUUCCUCGUGUCGCUGUUAACUGCGCAGAUCUUAUGAGCAAUCCCGGUGUCGAAUGCGACUUUCUGGCCCUACCCUUACGCUGAGGUACGCACGCGUAGGUAGCACACCGU